UACGUAGGGUGCAAGCGUUAAUCGGAAUUACUGGGCGUAAAGCGUGCGCAGGCGGUUGUGCAAGACAGAUGUGAAAUCCCCGGGCUCAACCUGGGAACUGCAUUUGUGACUGCACGGCUGGAGUGCGGCAGAGGGGGGUGGAAUUCCACGUGUAGCAGUGAAAUGCGUAGAUAUGUGGAGGAACACCGAUGGCGAAGGCAGCCCCCUGGGUUAACACUGACGCUCAGGCACGAAAGCGUGGGGAGCAAACAGG
rnacentral:rRNA from 1 species